rnacentral:rRNA from 1 species
UGAGCAACCUGCCCUUGACUCCGGAAUAACAGCUGGAAACAGCUGCUAAUACCGGAUACGACCUCCGAUGGCAUCAUCUGGAGGUGGAAAGCUCCGGCGGUCAAGGAUGGGCUCGCGGCCUAUCAGCUUGUUGGUGGGUAACGCCCACCAAGGCGACGACGGGUAGCCGGCCUGAGAGGGCGACCGGCCACACUGGGACUGAGACACGGCCCAGACCUCCUACGGGAGGNAGCG